rnacentral:lncRNA from 1 species
AAGAAACUGUCAGAAAGAACUGAGCCCUAAAGAGAAAAGAACAACCACCCUAUGAACCCCCUCCCUCUAAACAAGAGUGCAGACAGAAAAUAUUGGUUAAACUGAGAGGAAUUGAAGCAGAUCAGUCAGUACUUUUUCUGUGCACAACAUAUCCAAUGUUGUGGCAUUAAGAUGCAGGUUUACUCUGCCCCAUUGUAGUCUCUCCUCACCCAGCCUGAAACCUACUUGCUCAGGGGUGGAGCUUGCCGCUCAAUUGUUCUGCCACGCCCACUGCUGGAGCCUGUUCUGGAGCCAUCACGUGUUCACCUGCAACCUUACUCCUAGAUUAUUUGGCAGGAAUCGGCCUGUCCCCCUUCCUUCAUAACGGAGUAUCGAAAUAGUAAAAUUGAACCUUGAGCAGAGAGCCUUGUCUUGGUUCU